CAACCCCAUCUAGCCCUGCUGCUCCAUCCACCCUUCCUGCCCCAUCCGGCCCUGCUGCUCCACCAUCCCCUACUGCCCCAUCCCAGCCGGCAUUUCAGAAUGUCCACAGCCUUUUGAGGACAUGCUCGGGGCAUCGGAGCAAAAGAUACCAGAUAACGGUGGAGGAGAUCAGGAGGACUGCUCCACCUGAUUGCAAACUAUUCAAAGACAGACCACAACAAGCGGCAGAUACAAACUGUCCAUCACGACGGGGCAUUUAAGCGCAGGCGAAGACAGCGAACCCGUAACUAGUCUUUCCCCAGUUUUCCGACCUGUCCCACACUGCCCCAAUAAAAUAUUUAGAUAAUAUUUAUAGUGUAUUAAAUUCUGCCAUCCUUCGUGCUUAGUAAACUAAGCUGUUUGCGUGUGAAAUUUUGUUUUUACCAUUUUACUGUGUGUAUGAGGGUUGUACUUGGCCUUUAUUUUCAAUAAAGAAUAUGUCACACCCCAUCA